UCACCGCAUCCAUCACAACGGAUCGUCCGGCACGUACCUGCCGGUGAAGGAGAAAAUAA
rfam:Microbacterium sp. CH12i Contig6, whole genome shotgun sequence.